GAUGAACGCUGGCGGCGUGCCUAAUACAUGCAAGUCGAGCGAACAGAUGAGGAGCUUGCUCCUCUGACGUUAGCGGCGGACGGGUGAGUAACACGUGGAUAACCUACCUAUAAGACUGGGAUAACUUCGGGAAACCGGAGCUAAUACCGGAUAAUAUAUUGAACCGCAUGGUUCAAUAGUGAAAGACGGUUUUGCUGUCACUUAUAGAUGGAUCCGCGCCGCAUUAGCUAGUUGGUAAGGUAACGGCUUACCAAGGCAACGAUGCGUAGCCGACCUGAGAGAGUGAUCGGCCACACUGGAACUGAGACACGGUCCAGACUCCUACGGGAGGCAGCAGUAGGGAAUCUUCCGAAAUGGGCGAAAGCCUGACGGAGCAACGCCGCGUGAGUGAUGAAGGUCUUCGGAUCGUAAAACUCUGUUAUUAGGGAAGAACAAAUGUGUAAGUAACUAUGCACGUCUUGGCGGUACCUAAUCAGAAAGCCACGGCUAACUACGUG
rnacentral:rRNA from 1 species